UGCAAGUCGAGCGGAUGAAGGGAGCUUGCUCCCUGAUUCAGCGGCGGACGGGUGAGUAAUGCCUAGGAAUCUGCCUGGUAGUGGGGGACAACGUCUCGAAAGGGACGCUAAUACCGCAUACGUCCUACGGGAGAAAGUGGGGGAUCUUCGGACCUCACGCUAUCAGAUGAGCCUAGGUCGGAUUAGCUAGUUGGUGAGGUAAUGGCUCACCAAGGCGACGAUCCGUAACUGGUCUGAGAGGAUGAUCAGUCACACUGGAACUGAGACACGGUCCAGACUCCUACGGGAGGCAGCAGUGGGGAAUAUUGGACAAUGGGCGAAAGCCUGAUCCAGCCAUGCCGCGUGUGUGAAGAAGGUCUUCGGAUUGUAAAGCACUUUAAGUUGGGAGGAAGGGCAUUAACCUAAUACGUUAGUGUUUUGACGUUACCGACAGAAUAAGCACCGGCUAACUCUGUGCCAGCAGCCGCGGUAAUACAGAGGGUGCAAGCGUUAAUCGGAAUUACUGGGCGUAAAGCGCGCGUAGGUGGUUUGUUAAGUUGGAUGUGAAAUCCCCGGGCUCAACCUGGGAACUGCAUCCAAAACUGGCAAGCUAGAGUAGGGCAGAGGGUGGUGGAAUUUCCUGUGUAGCGGUGAAAUGCGUAGAUAUAGGAAGGAACACCAGUGGCGAAGGCGACCACCUGGGCUCAUACUGACACUGAGGUGCGAAAGCGUGGGGAGCAAACAGGAUUAGAUACCCUGGUAGUCCACGCCGUAAACGAUGUCAACUAGCCGUUGGAAUCCUUGAGAUUUUAGUGGCGCAGCUAACGCAUUAAGUUGACCGCCUGGGGAGUACGGCCGCAAGGUUAAAACUCAAAUGAAUUGACGGGGGCCCGCACAAGCGGUGGAGCAUGUGGUUUAAUUCGAAGCAACGCGAGAACCUUACCAGGGCCUUGACAUCCAAUGAACUUUCCAGAGAUGGAUCGGUGCCUUCGGGANCAUUGAGACAGGUGCUGCAUGGCUGUC
rnacentral:rRNA from 1 species